CUCAGCUCCUCUGAAUCCCAUCUGCUCUAUUAAAAAAAAUCAAGCCCACAGCAUGCUAUUAGGGUAAUUAUGGACAAUUGCUAUGAAGAAGAUGGAAAGAACAUUACUGAUGGCUUCACUGUGUGCAAGAGACAACCUGCACCAGACUUCACUUGACUUUUGGAGUUUUGGAUGGAAGAUGUAGCCAAGCAGCAGAACGCUGAUGAAAAAUGAACUUAUGUGUACAGGGGAGAAGACAGACAUCUGAAGACUUCAAAUCACCUCAAGGAAACAUUAUAAAAAUCCAUCUUGAUAAUAUGUACCUACCUGCAGGGAGAGAGAAAGCAUAUAUAGGAGUCUGCCUCUUCCAGCACACUAUCUUUUUUAGGUCAAUGUCAGACACUGGGUGUUGCCUUCUGGAUGUCAAAAGGAGAGAAGAUAUAGGGAGCAAAUCAAUAAGGGAGAGAAGAAUCAGCAUAUUUGCCACAGAAGAUGAGGGAAAGGAAAGCUGGGUGACUCAUUUCAUCAUGUAAAAUAUGCUCUUUCUGAUCACUCUCCAGGAACCAAGAAUGCAAUACUCUGUUUGGUGCUCAGAUAUUGUGCUAAAGAAGUAAAUACAGUCUUAAGUAGCUCAGAUCUAAAUGAAGUUUUGUACAAAAACUGAAGGUUUGCUACCACAGAAAGUGAUGUGCUGUUUCUUCU